AGAGUUUGAUCAUGGCUCAGAUUGAACGCUGGCGGCAGGCCUAACACAUGCAAGUCGAGCGGUAGCACAGAGAGCUUGCUCUCGGGUGACGAGCGGCGGACGGGUGAGUAAUGUCUGGGAAACUGCCUGAUGGAGGGGGAUAACUACUGGAAACGGUAGCUAAUACCGCAUAACGUCGCAAGACCAAAGUGGGGGACCUUCGGGCCUCAUGCCAUCAGAUGUGCCCAGAUGGGAUUAGCUAGUAGGUGGGGUAACGGCUCACCUAGGCGACGAUCCCUAGCUGGUCUGAGAGGAUGACCAGCCACACUGGAACUGAGACACGGUCCAGACUCCUACGGGAGGCAGCAGUGGGGAAUAUUGCACAAUGGGCGCAAGCCUGAUGCAGCCAUGCCGCGUGUGUGAAGAAGGCCUUCGGGUUGUAAAGCACUUUCAGCGGGGAGGAAGGCGGUAAGGUUAAUAACCUUGGCGAUUGACGUUACCCGCAGAAGAAGCACCGGCUAACUCCGUGCCAGCAGCCGCGGUAAUACGGAGGGUGCAAGCGUUAAUCGGAAUUACUGGGCGUAAAGCGCACGCAGGCGGUCUGUCAAGUCGGAUGUGAAAUCCCCGGGCUCAACCUGGGAACUGCAUUCGAAACUGGCAGGCUAGAGUCUUGUAGAGGGGGGUAGAAUUCCAGGUGUAGCGGUGAAAUGCGUAGAGAUCUGGAGGAAUACCGGUGGCGAAGGCGGCCCCCUGGACAAAGACUGACGCUCAGGUGCGAAAGCGUGGGGAGCAAACAGGAUUAGAUACCCUGGUAGUCCACGCCGUAAACGAUGUCGAUUUGGAGGUUGUGCCCUUGAGGCGUGGCUUCCGGAGCUAACGCGUUAAAUCGACCGCCUGGGGAGUACGGCCGCAAGGUUAAAACUCAAAUGAAUUGACGGGGGCCCGCACAAGCGGUGGAGCAUGUGGUUUAAUUCGAUGCAACGCGAAGAACCUUACCUGGUCUUGACAUCCACAGAACUUUCCAGAGAUGGAUUGGUGCCUUCGGGAACUGUGAGACAGGUGCUGCAUGGCUGUCGUCAGCUCGUGUUGUGAAAUGUUGGGUUAAGUCCCGCAACGAGCGCAACCCUUAUCCUUUGUUGCCAGCGGUUAGGCCGGGAACUCAAAGGAGACUGCCAGUGAUAAACUGGAGGAAGGUGGGGAUGACGUCAAGUCAUCAUGGCCCUUACGACCAGGGCUACACACGUGCUACAAUGGCAUAUACAAAGAGAAGCGACCUCGCGAGAGCAAGCGGACCUCAUAAAGUAUGUCGUAGUCCGGAUUGGAGUCUGCAACUCGACUCCAUGAAGUCGGAAUCGCUAGUAAUCGUAGAUCAGAAUGCUACGGUGAAUACGUUCCCGGGCCUUGUACACACCGCCCGUCACACCAUGGGAGUGGGUUGCAAAAGAAGUAGGUAGCUUAACCUUCGGGAG
rnacentral:rRNA from 1 species